GAUGAACGCUGGCGGCGUGCCUAAUACAUGCAAGUCGAGCGAACAGACGAGGAGCUUGCUCCUCUGACGUUAGCGGCGGACAGGUGAGUAACACGUGGAUAACCUACCUAUAAGACUGGGAUAACUUCGGGAAACCGGAGCUAAUACCGGAUAAUAUAUUGAACCGCAUGGUUCAAUAGUGAAAGACGGUUUUGCUGUCACUUAUAGAUGGAUCCGCGCCGCAUUAGCUCGUUGGUAAGGUAACGGCUUACCAAGGCAACGAUGCGUAGCCGACCUGAGAGGGUGAUCGGCCACACUGGAACUGAGACACGGUCCAGACUCCUACGGGAGGCAGCAGUAGGGAAUCUUCCGCAAUGGGCGAAAGCCUGACGGAGCAACGCCGCGUGAGUGAUGAAGGUCUUCGGAUCGUAAAACUCUGUUAUUAGGGAAGAACAAAUGUGUAAGUAACUAUGCACGUCUUGACGGUACCGAAUCAGAAAGCCACGGCUAACUACGUG
rnacentral:rRNA from 1 species